AUACGGAGGGAGCAAGCGUUAUUCGGAAUCACUGGGCGUAAAGGACGCGUAGGCGGGUUUGUAAGUCAGGUGUGAAAUCCUACAGCUCAACUGUAGAACUGCACUUGAAACUACAGACCUAGAGUAUGGAAGGGGCAGAUGGAAUUAGUGGUGUAGGGGUAAAAUCCGUAGAUAUCACUAGGAAUACCGAAAGCGAAGGCGAUCUGCUGGGACAUUACUGACGCUGAGGCGUGAAAGCGUGGAGAGCAAACAGGAUUAGAAACCCCGGUAGUCC
rnacentral:rRNA from 1 species